rnacentral:tRNA from 1 species
GGGCGGUUAGCUCAGCUGGUUAGAGCGUCCGCCUUACACGCGGAAGGCCGGGGGUUCGAUUCCCUCACCGCCCA